GGGGUUGUGGCUUAGUGGUAGAGCGCUUGCCUAGCAUGUGUGAGGCACUGGGUUCAAUUCUCAGAACCACA
rnacentral:tRNA from 1 species